rnacentral:rRNA from 1 species
UACGGAGGGUGCAAGCAUUAAUCGGAUUUAUUGGGCGUAAAGGGCGCGUAGGCGGCAAUGAAAGUCAGAUGUGAAAUUCCGGGGCUCAACCUCGGAGCUGCAUCUGAAACUUCAUUACUAGAGGUAAGGCGGGGAAAACGGAAUUCCACAUGUAGCGGUGAAAUGCGUAGAUAUGUGGAAGAACACCGGUGGCGAAGGCGGUUUUCUAGCCUUUACCUGACGCUGAAGCGCGAAAGCGUGGGGAGCAAACAGG